UGCAGCCUUGUCAAAUUCAGAGGUGCACUUCCAUUGUACUUACUGGCCUAAGUGGCUGCUACAGUAAACUUGCAAUUUAUGUGCCCUGUACCCACUUCUGUGGGUGCUGGGGUAAGUAAAAUUCUGCAGACAUUU